UACAGAGGUCUCAAGCGUUGUUCGGAUUCAUUGGGCGUAAAGGGUGCGUAGGUGGCGCCGUAAGUCGGGUGUGAAAUUUCGGAGCUUAACUCCGAAACUGCAUUCGAUACUGCGGUGCUUGAGGACUGGAGAGGAGACUGGAAUUCAUGGUGUAGCAGUGAAAUGCGUAGAUAUCAGGAGGAACACCGGUGGCGAAGGCGGGUCUCUGGGCCGAUACUGACGCUGAGGAGCGAAAGCGUGGGGAGCAAACAGG
rnacentral:rRNA from 1 species